CAAAGCUUCUGGCCAGCCCCAGGUGGCAGUGGCACCUCGCAGUGGGGCUGGAGACUCCAAAGGCUGCUUUUGUGGGGCAGGGGCUGGGCGGCUGCUGAGCCUAACGGGUGACAGCUGCAGGAGGGCCUUGUGAGACUUUGAGCUGCAUUCCCUGGAAAAUCCCUCCAGAAAUGGAGAUGGAAUAGACAGUUUUCUGGCAGCUCCCUGCUGUGAGCGUGGAAGGUGCUGGGGCAGAAGCAGCGCCCGCAGUGGGGGCACAGGGGACACCCCACAGCCCCUCUGUCCCCGCAGCCCCAAAGCGUGCAGGUGGCACAGGAAGGAGCCGGGGCUCGCCCGCCCGCCCGCAGCGAACCCCACGGCGCCGAGGGGCUGAGCGAGAGCCUCCGACUUCCUCCUGGCCCAGGCGAGCGCAGCAGCCGCAGGCGAUGUGUCCCGGCCGGCGCUGCUGGGGCCUCGGCUCCCUCCUGCUGCUGCUGCUGCUGCUCGGGCGAAACCUGGGCUUCCUCCUGGAAAUCCCGCAGGAUGCAGUCACUGGCACCGUGGGGCAGUCCGUGCUCCUGCCCGUCUCCUACAGAUGCAACAGCACCUCUUGUUUCCCGGUGGCAAUUCAGUGGCUGUUUAGUCACCCCUUAGAAAUAAUCAUUGCCUGCUCAGUGCAGAACUGCUCCCUGGGUGAUGGGGGGGCUCCCAAGAAUUGCUCCACAAACUGUUACUCCUAUCGUACACACUGGGGCCGUGUUGAGCUCUUCCCCGAGAACGCAUCCCUGCUGCUGCGGGACCUGCGGCUCAGUGACAGCGGGGUGUACACCGUCAGCUUCUUACGGAAAAGACAAAUCAGGAAGAUCACCCUGACCGUGCUCGAGCAGCCUGUCCCCACAGAUCCUACCAGCAAAGGUAAGUGUCCCUGUGCUGCCCUGGCAGCAUUCCUGCCCCUCCUGAUGGGGACAGCACGGGACCCCUGUGGAGGUGUCCUGGGGAGGUGGCAGCCUCCCGAUGCCACAUCUCCUCUCUCCUACCGCAGGCACUUCUCAAACAGCAGGAAGAAUAGCCACACGUAUCCCUUGCUGCAUCCUCGGAGGCUGCUACUGCUUCAUCCUGCUGCUCCUGCAGCUGCUCUUCCACCUGUGCUGGCUGCGGGGCAGCCCUGGGGAAGCCUGCGGCUGCUGCUGGGGAGAAGGGAGCCAGCGUGCGGGAGCAGCCAGGGCCGGGGCACAAUGAAGUGCCCAGAGUGGGGGCACAGGGGACACCCCACAGCCCCCUCUGUCCCCGCAGCCCCAAAGCGUGCAGGUGGCACAGGAAGGAGCCGGGGCUCGCCCGCCCGCCCGCAGCGAACCCCACGGCGCCGAGGGGCUGAGCGAGAGCCUCCGACUUCCUCCUGGCCCAGGCGAGCGCAGCAGCCGCAGGCGAUGUGUCCCGGCCGGCGCUGCUGGGGCCUCGGCUCCCUCCUGCUGCUGCUGCUGCUGCUCGGUGAGCUGGGGACGGGGCCACUGCGGCUGGAGAAGCCAGCG
rnacentral:lncRNA from 1 species